CCAGUGAGACAGACCUUUCCUGCCAUGCUGGCCAAGGUGGUGGGACAGAAGCUACCUCAGGAGUAUGAAAAUAUGCAACACCAUUAUGAUGCUGUUGAAAUUUGGAAGAAAAAGACUAUGACCUUGAAAAGCAAGAAUAGAACAAAUACUACUAGCACAUUUGGGGGGGAAAGGGGGAAUUUGAAGUAUUGAUGUCAAGGUUAAUUCUUAACUGCUGAAGAACAAAUGGCUUUGAAGAGAUAAUUUAGUAAUUAUCUUCCCUGAUAUCAACUAAAUUUCUGGGCUAAGUUUUAACACCUGCCUAUCUAGAAUAUCCAUAGAAUCUGUAUGUAGUACAUUAAA